GUGGAUUAGAUACCCGGGUAGUCCACGCUGUAAACGUUGGGCGCUAGGUGUGGGGGGCCUCUCCGGUUCUCUGUGCCGCAGCUAACGCAUUAAGCGCCCCGCCUGGGGAGUACGGCCGCAAGGCUAAAACUCAAAGGAAUUGACGGGGGCCCGCACAAGCGGCGGAGCAUGCGGAUUAAUUCGAUGCAACGCGAAGAACCUUACCUGGGUUUGACAUCGCCGGAAAACUCGCAGAUAUGCGGGGUCCUUCGGGGCCGGUGACAGGUGGUGCACGGUUGUCGUCAACU
rnacentral:rRNA from 1 species